UGUGUAAAUGAUGUAUGUUCAUAUACAAUAUGUAGGAUUUAGUGAACAAGAGAAGAAUAUAAGGGAUACAAGUUGAUGUUUACCUGAAGUGCAAAGAAAUGUGAGUAACCUCAAACUUUGAAAUGAGAAAUUUUAUUAACUUCUUUUUCUAUGAAGUGUGGUUUGGUUUUCCUAUGCCAUGAAGUAAUAUGUCUACGUGAUUUGAGUGUUAUGUUAUAAUGUGGAAUGGUUCUCAAUGUAUUUUUUAAGAUGUUACAAGUCUUAGUCUAUGAAAUGUGUACGCCAUGCUCUUGCUUUAUACCGUAUGUGUCCUCUAGUGGGUUCCAUAAUAGCUAGCAUUAUGUGCCUCCCUGGAGGAUUCUAUAAUAUCCAGGUAUGUGCCUUCCUGGAGGGUUCCAUAAUAUCCAGGUAUGUGCCCUUGCCGAUGGGUACCAAUUAUCGGCCGGGAUCCCGAUAUGUGUCAUGUAUGUAUAUGUACGUGGUAAGCUUGGCGGUAUUGGCUAUGUAAAUGUGUUCGAGUACUUUAUGCUUUCAUGUAAAAUAUCUUUUGAAUUUCUUUUAAAUGUUCGUAACUAGUGUGUUAUAUGUGUGUUGAAUAUUCAAAACCCAAAUUAGAGUAUGAGCUUUAUUCAUUGAGUUUUCAGCUGAUGGUUUAAUUACCAAUUUCAGGUGAUGAAGUACGAUAGCUUAUAGGUGUAAUAUUUUGUGCAAGUUUGGGCUUCAUGGAAUCGUUUUGCAUAAAGAAUGGAAGUAGAAAGAAGACUUGUAUUUUUGGACAUAUUUUGUACUUGUUUCCCUUAUGAACAAGGAUGUAUAUAUAUUUUUGCAAAGUGAUGUAUGUAAGCUAUGUAUUUUAGGGAAAGGUUAUGGAUGUUCAUGCUAAUGUAAUUAUGAUAUCAUGAAAAUUAUCAAUGUAUGGAUGCUCUAAACCAAAUGGGUUGUGCUCAUUUUGCUUAAACUUGUUUAUGGUUACUUUUA